rnacentral:misc_RNA from 1 species
AACAUCGCGCACCUGCGGGAACCUGCGGAAGGAUCAUUACCGAGUUUACAACUCCCAAACCCCUGUGAACAUACCUAUACGUUGCCUCGGCGGAUCAGCCCGCGCCCCGUAAAACGGGACGGCCCGCCCGAGGACCCCUAAACUCUGUUUUUAGUGGAACUUCUGAGUAAAACAAACAAAUAAAUCAAAACUUUCAACAAUGGAUCU